rnacentral:rRNA from 1 species
AAAUUGAAGAGUUUGAUCAUGGCUCAGAUUGAACGCUGGCGGCAGGCCUAACACAUGCAAGUCGAGCGGUAGCACAGAGAGCUUGCUCUCGGGUGACGAGCGGCGGACGGGUGAGUAAUGUCUGGGAAACUGCCUGAUGGAGGGGGAUAACUACUGGAAACGGUAGCUAAUACCGCAUAACGUCGCAAGACCAAAGUGGGGGACCUUCGGGCCUCAUGCCAUCAGAUGUGCCCAGAUGGGAUUAGCUAGUAGGUGGGGUAACGGCUCACCUAGGCGACGAUCCCUAGCUGGUCUGAGAGGAUGACCAGCCACACUGGAACUGAGACACGGUCCAGACUCCUACGGGAGGCAGCAGUGGGGAAUAUUGCACAAUGGGCGCAAGCCUGAUGCAGCCAUGCCGCGUGUGUGAAGAAGGCCUUCGGGUUGUAAAGCACUUUCAGCGGGGAGGAAGGCGUUAAGGUUAAUAACCUUGGCGAUUGACGUUACCCGCAGAAGAAGCACCGGCUAACUCCGUGCCAGCAGCCGCGGUAAUACGGAGGGUGCAAGCGUUAAUCGGAAUUACUGGGCGUAAAGCGCACGCAGGCGGUCUGUCAAGUCGGAUGUGAAAUCCCCGGGCUCAACCUGGGAACUGCAUUCGAAACUGGCAGGCUAGAGUCUUGUAGAGGGGGGUAGAAUUCGGGUGUAGCGGUGAAAUGCGUAGAGAUCUGGAGGAAUACCGGUGGCGAAGGCGGCCCCCUGGACAAAGACUGACGCUCAGGUGCGAAAGCGUGGGGAGCAAACAGGAUUAGAUACCCCGGUAGUCCACGCCGUAAACGAUGUCGAUUUGGAGGUUGUGCCCUUGAGGCGUGGCUUCCGGAGCUAACGCGUUAAAUCGACCGCCUGGGGAGUACGGCCGCAAGGUUAAAACUCAAAUGAAUUGACGGGGGCCCGCACAAGCGGUGGAGCAUGUGGUUUAAUUCGAUGCAACGCGAAGAACCUUACCUGGUCUUGACAUCCACAGAACUUUCCAGAGAUGGAUUGGUGCCUUCGGGAACUGUGAGACAGGUGCUGCAUGGCUGUCGUCAGCUCGUGUUGUGAAAUGUUGGGUUAAGUCCCGCAACGAGCGCAACCCUUAUCCUUUGUUGCCAGCGGUCCGGCCGGGAACUCAAAGGAGACUGCCAGUGAUAAACUGGAGGAAGGUGGGGAUGACGUCAAGUCAUCAUGGCCCUUACGACCAGGGCUACACACGUGCUACAAUGGCAUAUACAAAGAGAAGCGACCUCGCGAGAGCAAGCGGACCUCAUAAAGUAUGUCGUAGUCCGGAUUGGAGUCUGCAACUCGACUCCAUGAAGUCGGAAUCGCUAGUAAUCGUAGAUCAGAAUGCUACGGUGAAUACGUUCCCGGGCCUUGUACACACCGCCCGUCACACCAUGGGAGUGGGUUGCAAAAGAAGUAGGUAGCUUAACCUUCGGGAGGGCGCUUACCACUUUGUGAUUCAUGACUGGGGUGAAGUCGUAACAAGGUAACCGUAGGGGAACCUGCGGUUGGAUCACCUCCUUACCUUAAAGAA